CCUACGGGGGGCUGCAGUGGGGAAUAUUGGACAAUGGGCGAAAGCCUGAUCCAGCCAUGCCGCGUGUGUGAAGAAGGCCUUCGGGUUGUAAAGCACUUUCAGUGGGGAAGAAAGCCUUGGGGCUAAUACCCUCGAGGAAGGACAUCACCCACAGAAGAAGCACCGGCUAACUCCGUGCCAGCAGCCGCGGUAAUACGGAGGGUGCGAGCGUUAAUCGGAAUUACUGGGCGUAAAGCGCGCGUAGGCGGUCUGAUAAGCCGGUUGUGAAAGCCCCGGGCUCAACCUGGGAACGGCAUCCGGAACUGUCAGGCUAGAGUGCAGGAGAGGAAGGUAGAAUUCCCGGUGUAGCGGUGAAAUGCGUAGAGAUCGGGAGGAAUACCAGUGGCGAAGGCGGCCUUCUGGACUGACACUGACGCUGAGGUGCGAACGCGUGGGUAGCAAACAGGAUUAGAUACCCGAGUAGUC
rnacentral:rRNA from 1 species